GUUCCGCGUCGUUCCACGGUUGCUACGAGCGGCGUCGGCGUCGGCGUCGGCGUCGGCGUCGUUCGUCGUCGUCGUCGUCGCCGUCGCCGUCGCCGUCGUCGUCGUCGUUAUCGCCGGCGUCAGAGCGAACACGCAGCUGCCAAGGGCAGUCUCCGGUAUUCGGUCCAGUCUGCCAUACGCCGUCGUUUCGUACGCACGAACGUUGAGCGGGCUCGCGCGCGUGUGUGCACGAGAGAGAGAGAGAGAGAGAGAGAGAGAGAGAGAGAGAGAGAGAAAGAAAAAGAUAGAGAUAGAUAGAGAGAUUGAAAGAAAGAAAGAAAGAUAGAAAGAUAAAGAAAUACACACGCACACGCACACACAUACAUAUAUACACACACGUACAUACAUAUAUACACAUACACACAUAUGCACGCACCUGGAGGAUAGACGGACCUUUGGAUGGACCUAUAACGCAAGGAUUUAUUAAUAACUCGUAUGAAAUACAUCUCGUUUUUAUCUUCAACAAUUUUCUUCUUUAAUUUUCUAAUCUUUAUUUCUUCCUUUAACUUUCCCCACCGUAGAUCUGUCAAUUCAUUGAACUCGUUUUUCUUUUUUUAUUAUUCUUUUAUAUUUUCUUCUAAUUAAUUUCUCCUACUCUGCCGAAGAAAAAUCUAAUCGACGUGUGUCGUGUGUGCGUGUCUCGUUGAUUAUUGUGUUUCUAUUGUUCGGAAAAGAUUCGAGAGAUAUAAUUCCAUCACGUAAGAGACGUUUAAAUACGGUGACGUAUGUAUGUACCGUUUAUGAUUGUGAGAUUUGUUGUUAACAUUUUAAAAGGACGACGAACGUGUUGAUAUUUGUUUUCUUUUUCUUUUUCCUGUUUUAUUUUCUUCUCCUUAUUUCUUCUGUGACAAAUCAAGGAGAAAGGGAAUGUGCUUUCAUUCAAAUGGCUAAGAACGAAAGGUGUUAGAAGAGUCCUUUCUUUUUUUUUUUUUUAUCACUCAUGUGUUUCUUGUUUUCUUCGUGGAAGAUAUAAGGAUCGACACGAUGCUCUAACGAAGAUUUCUCAGCGGCGUGAAUUUCUUCGAGCGAGUCACGAGAAGCUGGAGAAGACGAGAAGGAUAGUCGUUGAAGGAAGAGAAAAAGAAGGAGGAGGAAGAGGAGGAGGAGGAGGAGGAGGAGGAGGAGGAGGAGGAGGAGGAGGAGGAGGAAGAAAAGGAGAAGAGUAAAGAUAGAAGAGGGCGGUGGCAGUUGUUACAAGGGUGGAAGAGAGAAGAGAGACGGUGGGGCGAACCGGAACCGGAAAUGGCUGCGAGGUGGCUCCUACUGGCGCUCCUCGCCGCCCAUGCCGCGGCUCUUCCUGAUAUCAUUAGGAUAGGUGGGCUGUUUCAUUCGUCCGACGACAAACAGGAAGUGGCCUUUCGUUACGCCGUAGAAAAAAUCAACGCCAACAGGGACAUCCUGCCCAAGUCUCGUCUCAGUGCCCAGAUUGAACAGAUAAAACCGCAAGACAGUUUUCACGCUUCCAAGAGAGUGUGCCAUUUGCUGCGGAGUGGCGUAGCUGCAAUUUUUGGUCCUCAAAGUGCGCACACCGCUUCCCACGUGCAGAGCAUCUGCGACACUAUGGAAAUACCGCACUUGGAGACACGCUGGGAUUACAGACUAAGAAGGCAGAGCUGCCUCGUCAACCUUUAUCCUCACCCUACUACCCUUUCGAAGGCGUACGUUGACCUUGUGAAGGCAUGGGGUUGGAAAAGCUUUACCAUCAUAUACGAGAAUAACGAAGGACUGGUACGAUUGCAGGAGCUUUUAAAAGCUCACGGUCCAAGUGAAUUUCCCAUUACCGUUAGACAACUUAGUGAAGGCUCGGAAUAUCGGCCAUUGCUGAAGCAGAUAAAGAACUCGGCUGAGUCACACAUCGUGCUGGACUGUUCCACCGAAAGGAUUUACGAUGUGCUGAAACAAGCUCAACAAAUAGGAAUGAUGAGCGACUAUCACAGUUACCUCAUUACUUCUUUGGAUCUUCAUAGCGUCGAUUUAGAAGAAUUUAAACACGGCGGGACCAAUAUCACUGCCUUCCGUCUGGUUGAUCCAGAAAAGCCAGAGAUUCAGCGAGUUGUACAAGACUGGAUCUAUGGUGAGAAGCGUUAUAAUCGUGAACUCGACAUGGGCCAGGCAUCUAAUAAGAACAAUCUGACGUGCAUAAAGACUGAAACCUCUUUGAUGUACGAUGCCGUACAUCUUUUUGCAAAGGCAUUACACGAUCUGGAUACUUCUCAACAAAUCGACAUUAAACCACUUUCCUGUGAAUCAACGGACACCUGGCCCCAUGGAUAUUCCUUAAUUAAUUACAUGAAAAUUGUCGAAAUGACCGGUUUAACCGGUAUCAUUAAGUUCGAUCAUCAAGGAUUCCGUUCGGAUUUCAUUCUUGAUAUUAUUGAGCUUAAUAAUAAGGAUGGUUUGAAAAAGAUCGGUACGUGGAACAGCACAAAGGGUAUAAAUUUUACGAGAAGCUACGGGGACGUUUAUACGCAAAUCGUCGAAAAUUUACAGAACAAAACCUUCAUCGUGACAACGAUAUUGAGUGCUCCGUACUGUAUGCGGAAGGAUUCAAGCGAGAAGCUUAGCGGAAAUGCGCAAUUCGAGGGAUACAGCGUCGACUUGAUUUACGAGAUAUCGCGAAUCCUCGGCUUCAAUUAUACCUUCAGACUAGUGCCGGAUGGCCGUUACGGUUCGUACAAUAAGCAGACCAAGGAAUGGGAUGGGAUGAUGAAGGAGCUUCUAGACCAAAAGGCCGACCUCGCCAUCGCUGAUUUAACCAUUACUUACGACCGUGAACAGGCAGUUGAUUUCACAAUGCCUUUUAUGAAUUUAGGGAUAAGCAUACUUUAUCGUAAGCCGAUAAAGCAACCACCGAAUCUCUUCUCGUUUCUCAGUCCAUUAAGUCUUGACGUUUGGAUCUACAUGGCCACAGCUUAUCUAGGAGUGUCCGUUUUGUUGUUCAUUCUAGCAAGAUUCACACCGUACGAGUGGUACAAUCCUCAUCCGUGCAACAAAAACCCGGAUCAUCUGGAGAAUCGUUUCAAGCUACUCAACUGCCUCUGGUUCACCAUUGGAUCGUUAAUGCGGCAGGGUUGCGAUAUUCUGCCAAAGGCUGUAUCAACACGUAUGGUAGCCGGUAUGUGGUGGUUCUUCACGCUUAUCAUGAUAUCGUCGUACACAGCAAAUCUCGCUGCAUUUCUUACCGUCGAGAGAAUGGAUUCGCCGAUCGAGAGCGCCGAAGAUCUCGCGAAACAAACGAAAAUAAAAUAUGGCGCCUUGAAGGGCGGCAGCACAGCCGCCUUUUUCCGGGAUUCCAAUUUCUCGACGUAUCAGCGCAUGUGGUCCUUCAUGGAUUCGGCGAAGCCGACGGUAUUUACAUCGAGCAACGUCGAGGGCGUAGAUCGAGUGAUCAAGGGAAAGGGAAGCUACGCAUUCCUAAUGGAAUCCACUUCCAUUGAAUACGUAAUCGAGAGGAACUGCGACCUAACUCAAGUCGGCGGUCUCUUGGACUCGAAAGGAUAUGGCAUAGCCAUGCCACCAAAUUCGCCGUACAGGACUGCUAUAAGCGGAGCCAUACUGAAACUUCAAGAAGAAGGGAAGCUGCACUUACUGAAGACUCGAUGGUGGAAGGAAAAACGAGGAGGUGGAUCCUGCAGGGACGACACGUCAAAGAGCAGUUCAGCAGCAAACGAGUUGGGUCUGGCGAAUGUUGGUGGCGUAUUCGUUGUACUGAUGGGUGGCAUGGGCGUUGCCUGUGUAAUAGCUGUAUGCGAGUUCGUCUGGAAGAGCAGGAAGGUCGCGAUCGAGGAACGGGUGAGUGUCGUCAGAUAGCACGUGGAGGAGGGCGCGAUCGCGCCGGAAGUCAACUCUGCAAACACGCAUCUCGAUCCGGACGCGAUCUAUCCCGACAUACCACGCGAAUACAUCAGUUGAUGUUCGCACGAUGGUGGAGUUUCUCUUUAAUGGUCCCGGUGCAACUACAAGACUACUCGGGUCUGAUCAGUAACCGGCUGUCGUCAUAAUUUCUUUCAAGAAAGCAGAAAUCAUCGGGGAAACCGAUCUGCGAAGGUUUUACUGAUCUGCACUAGCGAGCAAUACUAUUCGCCACGCUUCAAAAACAGAUUCCUAAGCCCGAGCCGGUACAACUAAGUGUAUCUGACCCGAGUUCUAUGGACCUAAGGAAGAACUCCAUCAUGAGUGACCGAGAAUCGUGUAUAAACUGCAUACCAAUCGAAGAAACGAAAUAAUCGAGAGAAGAAGCAAGCAGCCUCGACCUUUCCAAUUUUUCAAUAACGAAAUCUCUUACAUUUUUAAUAUUUAAUAAUAUCGAUGGCCUUCAAAAUUGAUCGUCUCUUCGUUCGAAAGCGAUCGAAAAGUAAAAGGAAAAAAAAAAAGAAAGAAAAAAGAAAAAAGUAAGAUUAAAGAAAAAGAAAAAAAAAAAAAAAGAAAAAAAAAAGAAAAUUAGAAAGUCUCGAUUUCUUGCUAUAUCUCUCGACGAUUAAAAUUUUUAUCUCUUCGAUCAUCUAUCGCAAAAAGUUUUCGUUUGAAACUUUCGAAACUCUCGAAACUUUCAGUCUAAAGUUGAAAGUUCAUCGUGCCAAUUUUCGAGGGUAAACGUUCGAACGAUGGUCUAUAAUCUAACUUGUUCUUAAGAGAGAAUAUAAUAUUAAAAAGAAUAAAAAAGAAAGGAACAAAAAAAAAAAAAAAAAGAAAAGAAAAGAGAGGGAAAAAAUUGAUUCGUAGAAAGAGCAAAAAAAAAAGAAAAAUAAAUUAAUUAAUUAAUUAAUAAUAGUAAUAAUAAUAAUAAUAAUAAUAAUAAUAAUAAUAGUAAUAAUAAUAAUAAUAGUAAUAAUAAUAAUAAUAAUAGAAAAGAAAACUCUUAAUUAAUGAAGUUCGAACGAUGAACAAUCGAUUUCAAAUUCAAUCUCUCGAAAUUCUUCUCGAAACCUUUUCCAGCUUCGUGGCCAACAGAAUUGACACCUUUUUGAGGCUAGCCGACGACAAAUCGUUUUCCCACUGGUCAAACAAGCGCGUGCGCGUGCGCUUGCACAUAUACGUGUGCGCGUGUGUACAUGUAUGUACGUAUGUACGUAUGUAUGUAUGUAUGUAUGUAUGUAUGUAUGUAUGUAUGUAUGUGUGUAUGUGUGUAUGACAGGCCAUUGUCGAGGGGAAAAGCAAAUAGUUGUACUUUCGAGCUUGACCUCGAAAGGGUUAAUCGAGUGGAGGGACGCAUCGUUGGCAAACAGGCUGGCGAAGUCGAGUCUCAGUUGAUUCUUCGAAACUGAACUCAAAAUUGGAAAGGUCAAUUGCGUUUGCGUCUCACUCAUAUAUACGCACGUAAAUACACACAUCGCUCAUAUCACAAAAACAAUGAAACAAACAAAGAAACAAACAAACAAGCAAAUAAACAAGCAAGCAAACAAUAAAUAAAUAAAAAAUUCAAACGAAACGAAAUGAAAUAGAAACAUUUAGAAAUUACAUAAUAUAAUAAACGAGUCAAAGAGUCAAAGACUAUGAAUGAAAACCUCGCAGUGCUCGCGAGUCGAGAAAAAGUCUGCCAAUUGCGAUCGAUAAAAAAUAACGUUUUCUUCUUAAGGUAAAAAUGAAUAAAAAAGAAAAAAAAAAAAGGGAAAAAGAAAAAAAAAAUAAUAAUAAUAAUUACAACACAAAUGUCCAAAGAAAAAAAAAAAAAAAAAAAAAAAAAAAAGAAAAAAAAGGAAAAAAAGAAAGAACGAACACGAUGAUCCAGGAUAUCAGGGCAAAGCAGAAAAAAGGAAAGGAAAGAAAUGAGUAGAAAAGAAAAGAAAAGAAAAGAAAAGAAUAGAAUAGAAUAGGGAAGAAAAGAAAAGGAGAGAGAGAGAGAGAGAGAGAGAGAGCAUUGUCUGUCGCGCAAAGAAUUCUUUUUUUUUUCGAUUUUUCUUUUCCUAUUUAUUUAUUUUUUUUUUCUUCUAGCAAGAUGUAGAAUGGGACCCGUGGGGGCGGGGGCAGGAUUAGGGAUGAUUGGGACGGGAAGGGCGCGAGUAUAAGUAAUUAAGGAACAAUCACGAUUUUAUACCAAUUAGAUAGUAAAUGUAUAGCGUCAGAUAACGAAGCGUUUUAUUGUAAAUAAAUUGUAACAUUAUAACGGGCCUAUUGCUGUAAUUCGUGGGGGAGUCCGUCCGCUUCUCGUGUGAGUGAGGAUGGGUGGAUUAGGACGGCAGCGGGAUGGAUGGGUGAGGGAGGGGGUGGGGCGAGUUGAGAAAAGUUUAAAGAAUAAAAGAGAGUAUAGUCGAAAUUUUCGAAAAUUUUUUUCUGUUGAGAUAUUGCAGGGCUUAUCGUAGGGAUUGCGUAUGAGUUGAAAAAGAAAAGAAUAAUAAAUAAAUAAAGAAGAAGAAAGAGAAGAAGAAGAAGAAGCUCACGGAUUCCGAGGAAAUCCGUUUAAUCGAUAAAAUAGACAGUAUAAUUAAUGUCUCGAAUCUCGUACGUUGUAUUAUACGAAUAUUGUAAUUAAAAUCAAAUCGGUAUAAUAAAAAUAGAUGUAAGCGUU